rnacentral:rRNA from 1 species
GACGAACGCGGCGGCGUGCUUAACACAUGCAAGUCGAACGGGUCUGCCUUGUUUUUUGCGGGGUGGGUCAGUGGCGAACGGGUGAGUAACACGUGAGUAACCUGCCCCUCACUUCUGGAUAACCGCUUGAAAGGGUGGCUAAUACGGGGUGUUCUGGCUGUGCCGCAUGGUGUGGCUGGGAAAGAUUCACUUUUGUGGUGUUUUGGUGGGGGAUGGGCUCGCGGCCUAUCAGCUUGUUGGUGGGGUGAUGGCCUGCCAAGGCUUUGACGGGUAGCCGGCCUGAGAGGGUGGGCGGUCACACUGGGACUGAGAUACGGCCCAGACUCCUGCAGGAGGCAGCAGUGGGGGGUAUUGCACAAUGGGCGGAAGCCUGAUGCAGCGACGUCGCGUGAGGGAUGGAGGCCUUCGGGUUGUGAACCUCUUUCGCCGGUGAAGAAGGUCCUGUUCUUUGUGGUGGGGAUGACGUAGCCGGGUAUGAA